CAUCAGUCGCCCUACCUCCCCAUCUAUCUCUCUCACUCUCUCUCACUCUCACUCGCUCGCUGAGCUGUUGGUGUGGGGUAUAUUUUGCAAUUCGCUGGAUGGGGCAGGCAGAAGUUACUCCCAGCGCAGCUUCAAGUUGGGCUCUGCCAUGGCCAACUCUGGCUUUAGCAAUGGGCCAUCAGCCCAUUUGACACAUGUGUCACUUGCCAGCGUUUCGGUUUCACUGUAUAGCUCUCUCAUUCCCUCUCGCUCGCUCUCUCUCGUUCGCUCUCGCUCUUGGUUGUAGCCUUCGGUUGACAGCUGUCAGUGUCAGUUUACAUAAUUUAUAGAUUUCAGCGCAUAAAAAAGUCAUAAAAUUUACAAUGUUGCUUUCAACAAAAACACAUUCAGCCUGCCUGCCUGCCUGCUGCCUAGAGCCUGGUCCUGGCAUACCCGAUUCUUUUGAUGCCUUAUUUUUAUGAGCGAAGACAUCAAUUUUCGCACAGCAACAGCAACUACAAUCUAUAUACAUAUACAUUUAUACAUAUACACAGACAAAUACAUAUAUGUAUAGAUUGUAUAUUUAUCUGCGUAUUUCUCUAUUUCUUCAAUACUUCUUCAGCGAUAAAUCCUCGCACUCAACAAAAUACAUAAACGAUUUAUAGUUGAACAAACGGCACAAAAUGCAACAAUAGCAAAAAAAAAAAAAAAAAAAAAAAAAAAAUACAACAGCAAAAAAAGCAGGACAAGGGGCACAGUAGCUAACGGCCAGCGCCUCAGCUAUAGGAACAAGUUUUCCUGCUGUUACCAAAUCCCGGCGCAACAUAAAUCUUUAAUGGAAAAUCUUGGCAGCAGGCGAACGACCAUAUGCAGCGAGGGCAGUCCAAACAGAAACUGAUAUACCAAAA